rnacentral:lncRNA from 1 species
GCUCAAUCAGGCUCUCACAGGCUGUAAUCCAAGUAGAAAGGUUUCACUAGUCUAACAACCAUAAUCUACAUACCCUCGGCACAAUCUGAUGCAAAAACUACAAACUGGGUCCACCGUCAACCACAAUGGCACCCGACAGUCCGGAACAAUCUGCACACUACUGUAAAAAUACGCUCGGCAUCUCAGCACCAGCGUAAAUACAUUUUACACUAUUCUGGGUAUCCACCACCAACAAACUGCGGCGAUACAAACAAAUUACGGCUCCUAGAGCUAAAUUUGAUAGUUUGAGCAAAUGACAGUAUAGAAUCGUUAGUUUUCUCCUAAGUCAAAUCUAAGUCCAAAAUGUAUAAUUUAGCUAAUAUUCUAAGCUCCAAUUCAGAUUUAAAAAUAUGCAAAUCA